AUGGAUGGGUUGUGGUUAAAAUCUCCUGCCGGUAGGAGACAAUGUAGCUCGCCGGAAGAGCAGAUCGACCGGGUGGUGGCUGCAGACGGGAGUUGGGAAGACAGGGCUUGCCGUCGAUUCCAACGCUGGUGGCCGAGUUGGGCUUUCGUGCGGGUAGAUUGCGGUCUCAUGGUGCUCCGGCAGUUUCGUUCCUGGCGAAAUCGAGGCUCGGCAGUGAGGGAGGAGACGUUGAGGCAGGCCGGAGACGGUGCGAGUCCGGUCUGGGCCAAGACACACAAGCAAGCAAAAGUAUUUUUGAUGAGACUUGCUUUUUUUAUGAAUGUUGGUGAAAUGAUCACAUGUGGCGAUCCAUGCGUGGCCGAAUUAUUGGUUGGAGCGGAGCAACGGAUGAGUCGGGUAGGCGACAGCGCGGGCGACGCGCCUGCUACGGUGUGGCAGCCAACCGCGGUGGUGACGGCGGACUGGUCUGUGGUCCGGCGCAGCGCGAGCGGCCACCAGGUGAGCGGCGGGGAGGGCCGCGCCGGCUCACCAGCAGCGGAGGACGGCGGUCGCCACAACCGCUUCUGGGCGCUGGCGGCGGAGGACUCGGAGGAGGAGGCCGAGGACGGGGAGCUGGAUUCGGAGCGGGGCCUGUGCGCGGUGCCUGCAGGGCCGUCGAUUGGAGAUUUCGUGGCCUUUGCGGCGAAGAAGAGUGGUGUGGGCUCGGGCUCGAGGCGUGGAAGGCGCUUCGCGCCGGGCGGCCGUGGCUCCAGAUCCAUGGCCUCGCGCAUCUGGCUGCCGUCGAGGUCGUGCAGCUCGGGCCCGGGUGCUGGCGGUUCGUCGGGGGCGGCGACGCUUAUUAGAGCCAAGGCGGCGGCGAGCCUGAUGGUGGCGCAGACGGAGUUGUCCAGGGAGGACUGGCCGUGCCUGCCGGCGCCCCCUGUGGUGGCGGCGGCGGAGGCGGCGGGGGCGCCGUGCGGUCCGGAGACGAUGCGCUCGGCACCGUGCCCUAGGGUUGGGCCGGAUGGGCCGACUGCGGGGGGCCUUCCUGGGCUGACGUCGGGUGUGGGGCUGGCUGAGGGUUCUGGGCCUGGGCUGGGGGGACAGUCUGGGUCCUUAUCUGACCCUCCAGUGGGGCUGGGCCUGGAGAUGGCCUCAGACACACGGCCCCAAGUGCCCCAUCGGCCCAACGUGCCUCGGCCCGGUACUCGCCCGACCACUGGCUAUAAGUGCGGCGCCUCGCUCACUCCGCCCGCACGAUCAAGAUCUGCCCCCCUCCUCCAAUCCUUCGCGGCGGUGGUGAUGGGAGAUCGGCGUGCAGACAAGAGACCGAUGGAGGUGUCAGAUCCGGAGGCGGAGCGGCGCAGGGAGCGGGAGCUGCGCGACAAGGCGAAGCGCGUGAUGCGCGAGCGUUCGGGUGGCCGCGAGGCCAGAGAAGAACGUGGCGGAUCUCGUGACCAUGGCGGGCGUGAGGGGGAUUGGGGUCCUCCUCCCCCGUGGUGGAUCCAGCAGCAGGAGCGCAAGAAGAAAAAGAAGGUUCAACAGCGGCGGCGCGAGCUUGAGAGGAAGCAUGAGACUCACCCCUACUGUAGUGGGGGCCACGGGGAUCCAAUGGCCAAGAAGCCGCGGGCACCUGCAGAUCCACUGGCGGUGGCGCUGCCCUCUGCAUCUAAGGGUACGGCGGAGGAGCCCAUCCCAGUGGAGGAGGCACCGGACGUGGAGUGCUUCAAGUGCGGGCGCCUCGGUCACUUCCAAUCCAAGUGCAAGUUCUUGCCCCUCUGUGUGCUCUGCAAGGAAGAAGGGCACGCAUCCGCUCACUGUCCGACGAGGGGCCGGCAGCUUCACCUUCAAAUCAUGGGAAGUGCCAUAUCUGGGGAAGGGUUCUUUUGCCUAGAGUUCGAGGAUGCGGACGAGACCGAAGCCCCCAUCGAUGCUCGCAUCAAGAACGCUGCCAUCCUCUCUGCGGAGCCGGGGAAGCUUAAUCUUCGGAUUCUCAAACAAGAACUGAAGCACAUGGUGACCGGAGAUUGGGAUUGGCAGGUAACACAAGUGGGCGACGACGAUUUCGUGGUGGUCUUUCCUUCUGCAGAUCUGUUACACAUGGCGAAAUCAAGUGGUAAGUUGUUUUUGUCUAUCAAUGACAUUACUGCGCGUGUGCGCGACAUGCUUCACGAGGAGAUCCAGCCCAUGGUGAUGCCGGAGACUUGGGUGCGGCUCCAUGGCAUUCCAAAGAAGCACAGACGUGAAGACCGCAUCAGGGAGGGGUUCCGGAUGCUGGGCCGGCCAAUCGUGGUCGAUGAACUGUCUCUGAUCAGGUUGGGGCCUGUUCAGAUGAAGCUCGCUUGCAAAGCCCCGGAGAAGCUGAAUGGUGUUGUCGAGGUGUGGUUCAACCACGAGGGAUAUCAAAUCAAGGACGCGAAUCCGGGCGCACGGCCGCUGGGCAAUGACAAACAGGGUAGGGCUGAACCAGGCAAUGAGUUGCAUGGGUGCGAGGGCGGCCCUAGUGAUGCGGCGAACCAAGAUGCCAAGAUGCAAGACAGGGGGGAGGAUCAAGACGACAGCAUCCAGGAUACAUCCAUUGACACGGAAACUUGGGAUAAGUUGGGUGCGUUGUCGGCUGAGACUUGUGCCAUGGGGGUGGCGACUCAGGACACCGCGGUGAGCGUGCCUCCGUUAGCCCGGUCGCUGGAGCUUUCCUUCAACGAGUUCGGGACCAACCCUGCCCCGAUCCAGGUGGCGGCGACUAUGAGUGGCGCGGGCGGGGUCUCCUCGGCUGUUUCUCUUCCUGCCUCAUCCUCUCCAGUGGCCGUGGGGGCGGACUCUGGUUGCGUGGUGAUCGAGGGUGGCGACCUUACGCCUGCUCCGCGUCGGGGCUCCAACAGCGGUGGUAGGCAACCUAAGAAAACGGCGGGGAGGAAACUGGCUAACAAGCAGGCGAUGGUGGUGGCGGAGGUGGAGACUUCUGACCUUGGUGGUGAGUUGGGGGCGGCGCUGGGGGUGACGGGUACUAACAACAAGGCCAGGCGCACCAAGGCGAUCCCGGUGGUGCAGCGCGCUCCUAGCGUUCGGGCCAAGGCCAAGCUCGGUGAUCUCUCUUCCUUGGAGAGCGCCAAACUCCGCAUCGCCGACAAGAACAUGGACGCCGCAGGUAACCCCUUGCCAUCUUUCCGCAUUCUAAAUGCCUUCUCGGAUGAGCACCUGGCGAGCAUUUUAGACGAUUGCGGCGUGGAGACCCGAGGGUCUGAGUCCGAUAUUAUAUCGCUCGUGCGUGCUAGGGAAGAGGCGCAGGCUGCGCUGGCGGCCGCCGCCGUGCGCUGCGCUAACAACAACGAGUUAGCCAUUGUGCCAGUAGAGGCUGGUGACGAGAGAGUGCCCGACGAGGUGACACAAGCUAGGGAAGCUGGUGUCCUUCCUUCUAAUGGCCGAGCGACGGCUAGGAAGAGAGUGGCGAAGGCGGUGACCUCUCGGGGUUUGUCGUGGGUGGUCGUCUGUGUUUAUGGACCUGCCGACCACUCCAGAUCGCCGGCGUUCCUGUUAGAACUGACCAACCUGGUGGGGCCAAAAGGGCAAUCAACCUCCCUGUGCUGGUGGGGGCCGGUCCGUAGUGUGCUGGAUAGGGUCUUUUUUACGCCUGAAUGGGAGGUGCUGUUUCCCAUGUGCUCUCUCGUGGCGGAGACGCGCAUUGGAUCAGACCAUGUUCCGCUGAUUUUUUCCUCAGGGGAGGAUCUCAUCCAUCGUAGUCCUAGGUUUUACUUCGAAACGGCUUGGUUCGAAGCGGAGGGAUUUGCCCAGUUGGUGAAGUUGGAGUCCCCCCCUCUUAACGGUAUGGGUGGAGCGGUUCGGAGGGACGACAAAGAAAAAUUCAUUGUCGUUAGAACAGUGGAAGGCCACGUCAGCGCCGCGCGUGACGGCGAGGCCAUUAACGGCCGUUACUCGGACCGACCAUUGCGGUCGGACCGCACCCGCUCGCUCGCUGCCUUUCUCUCUCUAUCGGCAGCAUCUCUCUCUCGCUCCUCCUUUCCCCCGUGCUCUCUGUCUCUCCCGACGAUGGCGGCGGCAAAGAAGAAGGACAACGGCGAGCCUGGGGCGACAGCUAGCGGCGAGGGCUGUGCUCACUCCGAGGUCAACAAGUGGCGAGGCAGCGCAAGUUUCCUGACCCAGCGCUCGCCUGGGCCACCGACGCAGGAGGUCCAGAUCUCGCCGGCGUUCCGCGCGGCCAGGGCAGUGGCCAAAAGCAUCCACGCGGAUCCAGAAGGCGGGCACCAGUGGGCCUCCUCACUUGAUGGCGUGGAUUUGGAUGAAGUAUGGGAAUUGAGGCUGCAUUUUCAGGGUAGAGAUAACAUGGAAAGGAAAAUUUCCUUAUCAGAAAUGAAUUACCUGUUAUUGUUAGCACUUAUUGAACUUGAGGGCUAUGGGUUGGAUGCCUAUCUGUCAUAUGUUAAGGAUGAGGGUAAGGGGCUGGAGGGGAUUGAGGUUUUGGACAGUGAUGAGAAGGUGGAGGAGAUUCUAGAUUUGUUUGCUGAGAAGAACGUAUUGAACAUAACAGUGAGAGAGGCUAGUGACCCAAAUCCAGCAGAUGCAAACAUGGACCACACCUUGCUUGAAGAGCAGAUUCCAAUGAGUCAAGUUGGUGAUCCCAUUGUUUAUAGUGUUUCCCAAGAAGGUGUCCUUUUCCCUGUCUCAAAUUCUUCACAGCCUCCAGUUGUGCCUGUUGAUCCAUAUUUUAACACACAACAGAGCUGUAAUUUCAACAAGGGAAAAGAGGCAGUGGAAAUUGAAGGCAUUGAAGCAGAAGAUCAAGAUGAAGUUGAAGAUGAGUUGGACAAAUCCUCUUCAGAUUUUGAGUUUUUCAGGGGUGAUUACAGAGGGAUGAAAAUUUCAUACAAGUCUUGGGCUAGGGGAGAAGAUGAAGGUGGUGAAGGAACAAGUCAGCACUACAGGGAAGAGGAAGAGAUGGCUGAGCAUUAUUUGGGGCUGCUUCUGAACCCUCAGAGUUUUGGCAGGAGCCAAAUGAAGAUACCUGUGAGGAAACAAGGCCCAACAAGCAGAUCACACAAUGAGCCAGAUCACAUAAAGUUUGAAGAUUUCGUGCCAGAAGUUGAUGAGUUCUGCUUUCCAGGAGAUGAAAGCAUUUCUGAUGAAGAAGAUGAUGCACAUAGGUUGCCUUGUGGCAGGAAGAGAAAAUUGAAGAAGAAGAAGGAGAGAAUAUGGUAUGAUUCCUCUAGGCCUGAUGCACAUGAACAAUUUAGGAUUCAUUUGUGCUUUCUGAAUGUGGUAGAGUUCAGAGAAGCAUUGAGAAACUACCAUGUUAGGACACUUAGGAACUUUGAGUACCAUAGGAAUGAUCCAAGUAGGAUCAUAGCCUGGUGCUCAGAUAGAAAGCAUGGUUGUGAGUUUUAUAUUACCGCUUCUAAGAUUGCCCAUGAGUCAAUCUUUAGCAUCAAGAAGAUGAAUCUUGAUCACACCUGUGGAGCAAGUGGAGAGAACACAAAGGUUACCAUGAAGUGGGUUGCAAAGGCUGUUGAGGAUACUGUAAGAUCCAAUCCUGGUGCAGGUGUUGAGACUAUACUGAGUUAUACAAAAAAGAAAUUUGGAGUACAUGUUCCAAAAAGUUUGGCCUACAGGGCAAGGAGGAAAGCAGUUGAUAUUGUGCAAGGGGAUCACAAGACACAGUACUACAGGUUAAGAGACUAUCUGCAGUGUGUUUUGGACACAAACCCUGGUAGUAGGUGUGUUGUGACAACAAAAGAAUUUGAACUCCACCCAGCACCUACCCCAAGGUUUCAUUACAUGUUUUACUGUCUGUUUGCUUGUAAGGAGGGGUUCUUAAAUGGUUGCAGGCCUUUCAUAGCUGGGUUUAGAGGGGAUGAAUUGAAAAAACAUCUAGACCAGGCUGCAUAUUCUUUCACUAAGCAUGGGCAUGAUUUGGGCAUGGAAGCAUUGAAGAAAGAGAGUGAGGAGGCAUGGAAGUGGUUGUCCAACAUACCAGUCCAUACUUGGGCCAGGCAUAGAAUGGAUACUAUAUGCAAGACAGACCUUGUUGUAAACAAUCUUAGUGAAGUUUUCAAUAGGAUGAUUCUGGAUGUUAGGAACAAGCCCAUAAGGACAAUGCUUGAAGGAAUGAGGACAAAACUCAUGAUCAAGUUUCAGAAGAUUAGGGAGAAGACAGAGACAUGUAGGUGGGAUAUCACACCCACUUACUCUGAGAUAUUGGAGGAGGCCAAGAAGUGGGCAAAAUAUUGUGAUGCAUAUAUGGCUGGACCAGGCAUUUGGCAAGUUACAAGUAGUUCAGAAAAGACCUACUGUGUAAACCUAAACAACUACACUUGUGACUGCAGGAGGUGGGAUAUGACAGCUGUUCCAUGUAGUCAUGCUAUAGCAGCAAUGCAGAAGGUGAAGCUACACCCUGAAGAUUUUAUCCAUGAGUUCUUCAAGAAGCCCCUCUACUGUGAAACCUACAAGCAUAUUAUAUACCCUGUUCCAGGCCCUGGGCCACACACCAUGGGGGAUGACAUAUCUCCUCCAGUAUUCAAAGAAAAGAAGGGUAAAAAGCAGACAACUAGGAGGAAAGGACAUUUUGAGGUUCCUGCCAAGAAGGAUACAUCAAGACUUGGGACAGUGAAUUGUAGCAAUUGCAAUAAGCAAGGUCACAUAUAUAUCACAUGUGGUGUUCCACUGAAACCCAAACUGCAAAUGAGAAAGAAUAAUCACCAGGAGAAUAGGUCAGACUACUCUUCAUCUACCAGAGCUACUACAGGUGUGGUUGCACCACCACCACCAUCAGCACCAGCCAUAGCUAGGAAGAGGCCUGCAACAGCCACAGCUACUCCAGGACCAGCAAAGAGGAACAAGGCAGCUGCUUCUGCUACUCCAGCACCUGCCACAUCAGCACCUGCCAAGAAGACCAAAGCAACCAAGAAGACAAGGGCUCCUAGCACAUCUUCACCAGCCAAGAACACAAGGUCAUCCAUUGCGUCUCCAGCAAAGAACACCAGAGCAUCAACAGCUAGCAGAGGAGGGGGGUACACAGGUUUCAAUGCUCCAAGUCUUUGUGACUUCUGGGUUGCACUUCCUGAUGCAAAGAUUGUUUCAAACUUCUGGGUUGCACUUCCUGAUGCAAAGAUUGUUUCAAAGAAUCAAACAUUCUUUCAAAUAAUCCCAAAACACUGA
rnacentral:rRNA from 1 species